AUGGAAUGUCAGGAUUCUGUGAUUCCCAGAGGAGGAGGAGUUGGAUAGCGUGAGAACAACAUUCCCACUGAUACGAAAGCUUUAGGGAAUGAGGACAGAAGAGGAAGUAUGCGCUGAUCUUCUCCUGACCUCAUGGAUUGUAGAUGUGACGCAGACGACACGAGGAAGACGGAGAGGAGAUAAGACGAGUCUCCAGACAGAUCCUCCGGGCUGAAGGUUUAACAGUGUUUAGAUGUUAUCUCACACACACCUGAGGCCUUCACCUCUGACCUCUCAUGAAACUAUUUGGUGGGAUCGAGGUGGACCUCAACGUUCAGAUCUUUGUCAGAUAUUGUCAUGUUACCGUUGUAGUAAAGUGAACUGUUCCUUGAAGUAGCACAUGAAUAUUGUACAGGACAUCACGUAAUCUGUGAUUCUGUCUCGAAUAUUUGAUUCAUUUAGUACUAUAGCAUACACUCACGUAUGUAUUAAUAAUACAGAGAUGAUGGAUCUGUCAUCGUCCAUGUGUCUCUUUAUUAAGUGAAACAGAAAAGAAGAUAUUUUGAGAAAUGUCUCAGUGGUUUCAGAUUAUCCGCAUUCUUCAAAAUUCGUUUGGGUUCUGCAGCAGAAAGAAACUCAUACUGACGUGAGGGUGAGUAAGUGAUGAAAGAUUUGUCAUUUUUCCCUUUGAAAGCAUCUCAGAACUUUGCUGUAAAUACAGAAACAUUGUGUUUCACAUCUGAUGGAGGUGACGUGUUGUUAUUGAAUGUGUGUGAAUAUGAGAUUUGAUAUCAUUGAUCUCUAUGUUCUUUGGCUCUUCCAGUUUAACACUCCUGGUACAAAGUGAAGUAAUUGACCUCUGACCUCAGUUGCCAGCCUAAGAGAGGUCGUGCAGGUCAUGUGCUAAUGACACCUUUUACAACAUCAAUAGAAACUACACACUAACCUCCAGACAUGACAGCAUGCUUGGCCUGCAACGCACACACACACGCACACGCACACGCACACGCACACAAGCAAGCAUACUAACACGCAGACACGUGCACACACAGACACACAAACACACACCCAUUAACACACACACACAGUUCACAUAUGCGCACAUACAAACUGAAUUGUGUGUAUCCUUCAUAACGAUGUCAAUCUAUAGGCACUAGUUAUGAACAUGCGUGUUAUGUAUGUACAGUGUGUUGGUUGUUUAGCUGUCUCUGUAGACAUCAAGACAGAGAAACGCAUCACAAUAAAACUCUUUUUUUCUCAAUGGAAUAAGUGAAGUCAUGUCAUGAGGAAAUGACGGGAAUGUCCAUUCAUUCUUGAUCAUGUUUUUCAUUGUUGUUAGUGUCUCUAUUGUGUUAUAAAGAAGCACAGAUUAUCAUAACUGUCUUUGUCUUUGUUCUUUCCUGAGUGUUUCAUGACUUCAUUCAGCGGUGGGACUGAUGUCAACAUAAAUAAAGUCUCUCAGCUCUCAAACAUCUUGAGAUCCGGCUCUGUGGAGACGCAGUGAUGUCUGACGGGAACACAACAGUCUAGAUGACCCAUGGAAGCAGGACCUGACCACACUCACACAUAUAAAGUUCAGGUGAGGAGACGAGCCGGAGACGGGUUUGGUUCCACAUGAUUUAAACAAGCGCUGGUGUACGUCCAUCACUGACAUGUCUACACAUCCACAUCAUCCAAACAUAAAUAUUGAGUUUAUCAACCGCCUUCCGGCCUUUCAUAUCUGGUGCCGGGACCACAGGAGGAUAAAUACGCUACUUCAACCCAAACAACUCCCAUUCUGGGACAUGGACGAGAUUUACGUUUGUGGUUUACAUGAGUUUUAAGGCUCGAAAUUUUUUGAAGAAGAAAGUUCCACUGCUUUUUUUCUUUACAGAAAGACACGUACGGUUGAAUUCAGCUGCUCACUGGCUUUCCUGACUGAAUCAUUUCAGUUUCAUAUCCUUGAAUAUGUUUAUUUGCGUUUGGAAAAUUUUAAAAGUUUAUCAUGAAUGCACACAAAGAAGGAUCUUAAAGGGCCAGUUCACACCAAAGUUAAUUCUGUCAUCAUUGAUUCACCCUCAGAUUGUUCCCAACCUCUAUACAUUUCUUUGUUCUGCUGAACACACAGGAAGAUAUUUGUGAGAAUGUCAGUAACCAAACCGAUCUCAUCCCCCAUUAACCGCCAUGGUAGGGAUUUUAAGGCAUCAUAGGUCUACUCCCAGAAUGCAUUGUAAAUAGCUCAGUAGAAAAAUGUAUCCAAAAUUGAAAUGUACUGAUAUAUUUAAAUUAUAAGUCUUUCAUCAUGAAGAUGAAUUUUUUUUAACAUUAAAUUGAGUGAAGCUCGGAUCAUAUCACCUUCAUGUUAAACCAGAGAUGAUGUUUAGGAGAAGCCAGCGGGGUGAGACACUUAGAGACCCCUGUAAUAGAGGCUGACCCUUGCUCAAGUCACUGAUUGGCCGCUGGAGAUCUUAUCCCAUCCAUUACACAACCUGUUAUUUUGGUUAAACUUCACAAAUAGAGAAGCAGUUGCCUCAGCGGUGCCUCCAGCCAAUGACAACAUUCCUCGUCCACAA